UUUUCAUUCCCGUUACUUAUUUUCCCAAUCUCACAAGCCCUUAAAAGAGGCGAGGCUAAAAAGACGGAUCGAAGGCAAUCUACUCCACCAUCUCUCCAUUCCAUCUCUCCCAACCUCAACAUAGAACUCAACGCCUUCAAUGAAACCCAAGGCAUUCUGGCAUUUUUUUUGUCAAGGCAUUCAGUCAUUGUUUUCGUCAUUCAAAUCCCCACAACCAUAGUCUUCUUUGGCGAAUCUACAACUAAAAUUAGAUAAGCGUGAUACGUGGUUUACAUGGGUAUCUCGAAGCUGUUGAUUUCCGAAAAAAAUUUGGGUAAUUAUGAAUUUUCAAUUAGAAACCAGUAUCUGAAUUUUUAAUUACAACCCUGUUCAUAUGAUUUGAAGGUAGAUUAAUAUGUAAAUAUUUAUAGAAAUGGUGAAAUUGAUUAAGAUUUAUAUUUAUAUUUACGACGACAUAUGAUUAAUUGACUAGCUGAAUCAGAAACGAGUUAAGCUAAUGAUUUGAUUUUGUUGUUUUGAUAUGUGCCAUGAGGAGUUCCGGGAGACAAUAUUACAUGUUCAUCUGGCAAAAGAUGGUUCUCCAGCUUAUAAUGGCAGGACAGAACGAUGGAGUCUGCCAUGGUUGUAGACGAAGCAGUUACUUUGUGGAUUGUCAAAAUAAGGUCCAUUGCCCGUGGUAUAAAGCUGCAUAUGUGUGAAGUGUUUUGCAGUGGUAUAGAACAUGAUCAACAAAGGUAAAUUUAAGUGUUGCAGCAAAAAGUGCGGAUUUUGAGAGUAGGUCAAAGAGGAUGAAACAUCCCGCAAAUCAAGUUCCAUUGGCAGUUCCACUAAUAAUCAUUUGGCAACUGGAUUAGAGAAUAAUGUCUCUUGCAUAUUUGAAAUGAUGUGUCGAUUAACUAACGAAAAAGAUGUGAAGAUAAUCAUGACAAUACGCAAAGGAAAUGCAAAGUUAGAAUGUGAUAAGAAAGGAAAGGGCCCGGCAUGAUUUGUAGUUAUUCGUCUAUGAACUUCUUUUGUGACUUUUUUCGUCUACGAUGCAAAUGCAAAUGCAGAAUGUGACUUUCUUCGUCUACGAAGUUGUGAAGUGUUAAUGUAAUUUCAGUUUUUUAAAUGUUAAUGUACGAUGUUGAUGUACAAUGUAAUUUCAGUUUAUUGGAUAUUUUCCUAUGCUAGUUCUAUUGUAACAGUAGGCCAAAGGAAUAACAUUUCUUCCUCUA